rnacentral:rRNA from 1 species
AACAUAGCCUACUAUUUAACUUAGGUACAACCCUGCCCUCUGACUUUUAACAGCCGCGGUAUCCUAACCGUGCUAAGGUAGCAUAAUCACUUGCCUAUUAAUUAUAGGCUAGAAUGAACGGGAUCACUCACUUAAACUUAUUUUUAUUUAAAUUUAAAUUAAACUUUAAGUCAAAAUACUAAAUUAAAAAGAAAGACAAAAAGACCCUGAAAACUAUUAGAAAUAAUUAGUUGGGGCAACUAUAGACCACUCUAGCGUCUAUUUUUUUUAAACUCUUAAAAUCUAAAGUAUCCAGUUACUUCAGGGAUAACAGACUAAUUUUAUUAUUUAGACCCAAUAAAUAAUAAAGAUUGGCACCUCGAUGUUGGCUUAUAUUUCCUUCAUAUAGCAACAUAUAUAGAAGGCAGCUUGUUCAUCUGUUAAAUAUUUACAUGAG